rnacentral:rRNA from 1 species
UACGUAGGGUGCAAGCGUUGUCCGGAAUUAUUGGGCGUAAAGAGCUCGUAGGCGGUUUGUUGCGUCGGCUGUGAAAUCCCGAGGCUCAACCUCGGGUCUGCAGUCGAUACGAGCAAACUAGAGUGUUGCAGGGGAGACUGGAAUUCCUGGUGUAGCGGUGAAAUGCGCAGAUAUCGUAAGGAACGCCAGUGGCGAAAGCGAGUCUCUGGGCAGCAUCUGACACUGAGGCACGGAAGGCCAGGGGAGCAAACCGGG